rnacentral:lncRNA from 1 species
CGCCGCCAUUCCAUACGCUAUUUUUAAAUGUAAACCCCUCCCAACACUGGAAGAGGAAACAGAGACCAGUGCGCUGUGCAGUCUCACUUAACUAGAAUGCACAACUCCUGCUUUUAUCACCAUUCUGGGAAAUCCCCGCUGCAUUUCAUGGCCAGGGCAGCACUUCAUAGUUGGAAAAGGAUGGUGUGGACUUGCCGCAGAGGCCCUAGAGAAGGCCAUCCUGUGUUCCUGCUCUCCUUCUCAUCCGGCUUCUACCCCCACCCCACCCCCCAACAAAAACGCUACAGGUUAUAAGAUCUACAUUCUGAACCUGGCUUUCAGGGGCUAGGUGUGUUGUGUGUUGCACAGCUCUAGAGGUAGCAUAGCCUUGAUCAUCGGGGUGGAGGUGUCUAUUUACUAUAUGUUGCAGCAGAUGGCAGUGAAGUGUCUUGAGGAAGAGGUGUUUUUAUCAUUUGAAGGUUAUGGGGUGUAAUAAUAAAGACUGCAAUUCACAGACCUUGAGCCUAGCAGGCCAAUGCCAAGGGCAGAACUGUAGGCUCCCACAGCACAGUUCCACAGAGGAAGGGGGCUGGUUAGUAAGGGGAAAGAAGGAUAGAAGACUGCAGUAAAUGUAAACAGCCGUAUUUUCAACAUAAUUUACUACAGGUCUCUGAAGUGUAUAUAAAAUGUUUUAGU